GAGGGUAUAGCUCAGGGGUAGAGUGCCUGCUUAGCAUAUAUGAGGUCCUGGGUUCAAUCCCCAGUAUCUCCG
rnacentral:tRNA from 1 species